UCUCUAGUCUGGCAGAGGAGACACCACAGCUAGGAUGGUGGUUCUCCCGGGAUUAGAAUAAUUUGCACUUGGAAUGUGCCUACAAUUGGCUCAAAUGCAAGAAAGUCAACUGCAUAAUUUAUGUUAGUGGUAGGCUUUGAUCAUGGUGUCUUCCU
rnacentral:snRNA from 14 species